CUGCUACCUGCACGUGGACAUGAUGAAGAGGAUGAACCCCAAGGAGGGCAGGAAGCAAUUCCUGGAGUUCUGUCACUUGUUCCUGGACAAGACCGGGCUCCUGCGGGUGCCCGUCCCACACCACGUCCAGUUUGAGCUGGAGCGGACGCGGCCGGAGCUGCUGCCCGAGGAGGCGCAGCGCCGCUUCCUGCAGGACAUCCAGAGCUUCCAGGAGCCGGAGAUCGCGCGGCAGCUGGAGGACUUCAGGU